rnacentral:rRNA from 1 species
UACGGGGGGGUGCAAGCGUUGUUCGGAUUUACUGGGCGUAAAGCGCACGCAGGCGGGCUGUCAAGUCGGGUGUGAAAACCACGGGCUUAACUCGUGGCCUGCAUUCGAAACUGACAGUCUUGAGUACCGGAGAGGAUGGCGGAAUUCCUGGUGUAGCGGUGAAAUGCGUAGAUAUCAGGAAGAACACCGGUGGCGAAGGCGGCCAUCUGGACGGAUACUGACGCUCAGGUGCGAAGGCUAGGGGAGCAAACAGGAUUAGAUACCCGCGUA